CCUUUUUCCUAAACUGUUGGGACCAAGACUCCCAAAAUCAAUACCAACUUUCCUUUUAUAGUCAUUAACCUUGUGUUUAAAUUUCAUAGAUUUCUAUUUACUUAUACUAACGUUAUGGUGCGAAAACCAAGAAAAAUGCUUAUUUGGGUCCCUUUUUGGCCCCUAAUUCCUAAACUGUUGGGACCAAAACUCCCAAAAUCAAUACCAAUCUUCCUUUUGUGGUCAUAAACAUUAUGUUUAAAUUUCAUUGAUUUCUAUUUACUUAAACUAAAGUUAUUGUGCGAAAACCCAGAAUAAUGCUUAUUUGGGACCUUUUUUGGCCCCUAAUUCCUAUACUGUUGAAACCAAAACUCCCAAAAUCAAUUCCAACCUUUCUUUUGUGGUCAUCAACCUUGUGUCAAAAUUUCAUAGAUUUCUAUUAACUUAAACUAAAGUUAUAGUGCGAAAACCAAGAAAAUGCUUAUUUGGGCCUUUUUGCCCUAAUUCCUAAAAUGUUGGGACCAAAACUCCCAAAAUCAAUACCAACCUUCCUUUUAUGGUCAUAAACCUUGUGUUCAAAUUUCAUAGAUUU
rnacentral:lncRNA from 1 species